AUUGAACGCUGGCGGCAUGCUUUACACAUGCAAGUCGAACGGUAACAGGCCGCAAGGUUCUGACGAGUGGCGAACGGGUGCGUAAUGCAUCGGAACGUGCCCAGUCGUGGGGGAUAACUACUCGAAAGAGUAGCUAAUACCGCAUACGAUCUAUGGAUGAAAGCGGGGGACCGUAAGGCCUCGCGCGAUUGGAGCGGCCGAUGUCAGUUUAGGUAGUUGGUGGGGUAAAGGCUCACCAAGCCAACGAUCUGUAGCUGGUCUGACAGGACGACCAGCAACACUGGAACUGAGACACGGCCCAGACUCCUACGGGAGGCAGCAGUGGGGAAUUUUGGACAAUGGGCGCAAGCCUGAUCCAGCAAUGCCGCGUGCAGGAAGAAGGCCUUCGGGUUGUAAACUGCUUUUGUACGGAACGAAACGGCUCUGGUUAAUACCCGGAGCUAAUGACGGUACCGUAAGAAUAAGCACCGGCUAACUACGUG
rnacentral:rRNA from 1 species